GGGGGAGUGGCGUAAUUGGCAACGCAUUGGUUUCCAAAACCAAAGUUGGGGGUUCAAGUCCCUCCUUCCCUG
rnacentral:tRNA from 2 species